GAGGGAGGAAUGAGAAGCGACUGCUAAUCGGCAUGAGGAACCUCAUGAGGUGAUGAAAACAUUCUGGAAUUAGCUAGUGGAGUGGGUGAAGCCAGGGCUGUGCCUCAGAAGGGGAGGGGAGGAGUCCUGUGGAGUUUCUGAACUUGAUGUGGAGCGAAAGUGCUGUGGUCAGCAAUCUUAGCUGGAAGAGUGACCUAGACAACCCUCACUGGGGGCUGGCCCCCUCAAGGCUGACCCCAGAAGGGGUGGGUCGAGGUCCUGAGUCCUGCGGGGCCAGCUCCUCAGCUGUGGGGGUCAUUUAUUUCUGCUGAGUUGGAUGGCAGGGCCUUUGAAGCGCUGGGCAGAACUGCAGCAGGUCCUCGUGGGAGGAGACCAGUGUGGCUCCAGCUCCAGGUGGUUCUUCCCAACACCUUCUUAAACAGCGGUCUGGGGUCGUGCGGCUCAUCUGUGUUGAUGUGGUGCUCCCAUGCGUGGCGACCACGAGUGGACAAGCGCUGCCCUCCUGCCUGGUGUGUGAGCAGAACGUCCAUCUGGGGCACCACUGAGAUGAAAGGAUUUCAGGAAACUGUGGCCAACUACCUCCCUGAAACUUCAGUUCCAGAAUCUGCCAGAACGGCUGUGAUUUGGAGCAUCAGUGCCUCAGUGCAGUGCAAGGAGUGGACUGUGGUUGACAGUGCUGAUGGCCACCCCCUCAGCCCCACUGCAGCUGCAGUUCCUGCUCCCUGA
rnacentral:lncRNA from 1 species